rnacentral:rRNA from 1 species
UCGAUAGGUCUGGGUAAUCUUUUGAAUACGUAUCGUGCUAGGGAUAGAUUAUUGCAAUUAUUAAUCUUGAACGAGGAAUUCCUAGUAAACGCAAGUCAUCAGCUUGCAUUGAUUACGUCCCUGCCCUUUGUACACACCGCCCGUCGCACCUACCGAUUGAAUGACUCGGUGAAGUAUUGGGACUGUGAAUUUGUGUGCUUCAUUGCAUGCAAGUUUGUGGGAACUUUCCUUAACCUCGCCAUUUAGAGGAAGGUGAAGUCGUAACAAGGUUUCCGUAGGUGAACCUGCGGAAGGAUCAUUA